UGAGUAACACGUGGGUGAUCUGCCUGGAAGUCUGGGAUAACAGUUGGAAACGGCUGCUAAUACCGGAUACCCCUUAUUAUUCGAUUAAUAAGGGAAAGAUUUAUUGCUUUCAGAUGAGCCCGCGUCCCAUUAGUUAGUUGGUGGGGUAAAGGCCUACCAAGGCGACGAUGGGUAGCCGGUCUGAGAGGAUGGUCGGCCACACUGGAACUGAGACACGGUCCAGACUCCUACGGGAGGCAGCAGUGGGGAAUUUUGCGCAAUGGGCGAAAGCCUGACGCAGCGACGCCGCGUGAGUGACGAAGGCCUUCGGGUUGUAAAGCUCUGUCUAGGGGGAAGAUAGUGACGGUACCCCUGGAGGAAGCCCCGGCUAACUACGUGCCAGCAGCCGCGGUAAGACGUAGGGGGCGAGCGUUGUCCGGAAUUACUGGGCGUAAAGGGCGUGUAGGCGGCUUUACAAGUCAGCUGUGAAAUCCCCCGGCUCAACUGGGGGCUUGCAGUUGAAACUGUAGAGCUUGAGUGCAGGAGAGGAGGGUGGAAUUCCCAGUGUAGCGGUGAAAUGCGUAGAUAUUGGGAGGAACACCGGUGGCGAAGGCGGCCUUC
rnacentral:rRNA from 1 species